AUAAAUACAUAUUUAAAAAUCUGAAUAUUAAAUUAACGUAAGCUCCACAACACCAGACGACAUCUCCUCCAGCCAACACCUCCACAUGCUGAUGACACCCGUGUGUCCGUCUCUGGUCACAAUCGAAGGCCCCUCUAAAAAACGAGCGUUCCUUUGAGCGUUGGCACGCUGCCGUUCUGCAGGUUGAACAUUCAGACGUCUGAUUCCCCUCAGAGACCCUGAACGCAUCGUGUUGCUACCGGAUGGCUCACAGAUCCGUGACGUGCGAGUGGAGUCGGGAGUCGAACAGCCGAGUCGGACGCCUCGCUCAUCUUCAGCAGUGAAGAUACAAUCAUAUACAGAUACAAUCUUCACCCCGGCCUCCGUCCUCAGCGUAACGGCCCGGAUCAGGGACUACGUGGUGGGGCAGGGGGUCCGGUCUGGACCUCAUGCCGUGGUCCUUUAUGACGCAGUCAAACCCCCUCGGCCUGUAUUAAGUCUACGUGGCUCCGCUGAGGACUCGUUCCAGGACUCCGGAACAGCAGCCUGUCAGCUCCGAGUCCACAGCACUCCCAUGUGGACCCAGGCAUCAGACUCGGUCCCUGCUCAUCGAGAUCAGACCCUGAACUACACAAUCAAAGACCUCCUGGAGUCCACCAUCUACAGAGCGGCUGUGUUCUGCAGAGAGGAGACCGGCAUCUGGAGCGAUGACGUCAGCGCGAGGACGCUGGACAACUCUCUGGCGCCCUCUUGGCCUCCAGAGGUGUUUCAGAGUGGAGAAAACUGACUGGGGGUCUUUUCACCAUCAUCUCAUGUGGAAGAUCGUAUCCUUGGAUACCGGGUGAGUUACGAGCCGCCGAACAAGAAGAAGAAGAAAGAGCUCCUGGUGGUGGAGGAGGGGAACGCGGCCUUGGCUUCAAACCCUGCCGUGCACGUCUCAGCAUUGACCCGCAAGGACAGACCAGUGAGUGGCACGCUGCCGUUUGUCCCAUCCAGGCACCGGUAACUACUCACGGGGUCGUGCCCUAAGGGUGUGUUGAGGCUCACCGAGAAGCAGAGGAAUUCCCAGCAGCACUGAGUUCUGCAAAAAAGUGUCACAAUAUGUUUAUCCAUCAAAUGUGCCGAUCAUGUUCGUCCACUUUUGAACUGAUGCUAUCGGGUUUAACUUGUGCAACGUCCCGGGCUUCACGAUGUUCAGAUAAAACUUAUUGCAACACGUCAGAAGUUCUCGUUCAAGUUUCAAGUGUUUAGUUUGAUGAAUACGCUCAUGUUGGGUCAGAGGUAGAGACUUUAAUAAUGGUGAUGGUGAUGGUGGUAAUGAUGGUGAGGGUGGUGGUGGUAAUAAUGGUGUUGGUGGUAAUGAUGGUGAGGGUGA